CUCUACUGCACCUCAAAAAAAAAAGUUAUCAUUGAAAAUCAUCCAUCUGUAAAACAAACAGAGUUUAAGGUAAGGGCGUUAUGAAGGUAUUUGUGUAGGGUAGCUCCCUAGCCCCAUUCCUUUAUACAUAUGGCGCCCUAUCUGAAAGGCUGCGGCUAAGUGAACAGAGACACGUUAUGGACAGGUAACUGCAAAUCACAGAC